AUACCUUUCUCGGCCUUUUGGCUAAGAUCAAGUGUAGUAUCUGUUCUUAUCAGUUUAAUAUCUGAUGCGUGAACCAUUGGUUCACAUGGUAUUAUAUUUAUUUUUGAAGGGAGAGGACCCUUAAAUGUAGCUUGCUACUGUUGUCCUCGUGCAUCGCCCACUACAGCACGGGGCUGGUGCAUCCCAU